UUUCUUGUAACAAGGUGUUAGCGCAUAUUGUAUUUUGGUUACAAAGGAGAUUAGAUUUCUGUUACUU
rnacentral:tRNA from 1 species